AGAGCGAACGCUGGCGGCAGGCCUAACACAUGCAAGUCGAGCGCCCGUAGCAAUACGGGAGCGGCAGACGGGAUAGUAACACGUGGGAACGCGCCCUUCGGUUCGGAAUAACUCAGGGAAACUUGAGCUAAUACCGAAUACGCCCUUACGGGGAAAGAUUUAUUGCCGAAGGAACGGCCCGCGUCCGAUUAGCUAGUUGGUGAGGUAAUGGCUCACCAAGGCUACGAUCGGUAGCUGGUCUGAGAGGAUGACCAGCAUCACUGGGACUGAGACACGGCCCAGACUCCUACGGGAGGCAGCAGUGGGGAAUAUUGGACAAUGGGCGCAAGCCUGAUCCAGCCAUGCCGCGUGGAUGAUGAAGGCCUUAGGGUUGUAAAGUCCGUUUUAACGGGGAAGAUAAUGACGGUACCCGUAGAAUAAGCCCGGCUAACUUCGCGCCAGCAGCCGC
rnacentral:rRNA from 1 species